rnacentral:rRNA from 1 species
CGUGCGGUUCUAUUUUGUUGGUUUCUAGAGUCGCCGUAAUGAUUAAUAGGGACAGUCGGGGGCAUUAGUACUCACAUGCUAGAGGUGAAAUUCUUGGAUUUAUUGAAGACUAACUACUGCGAAAGCAUUUGCCAAGGAUGUUUUCAUUAAUCAGGAACGAAGGUUAGGGGAUCGAAAACGAUCAGAUACCGUUGUAGUCUUAACAGUAAACUAUGUCGACUAGGGAUCGGGCGACCUCAAUUUUGAUGUGUCGCUCGGCACCUUACGAGAAAUCAAAGUUUUUGGGUUCUGGGGGGAGUAUGGUCGCAAGGCUGAAACUUAAAGAAAUUGACGGAAGGGCACCACCAGGAGUGGAGCCUGCGGCUUAAUUUGACUCAACACGG